rnacentral:rRNA from 1 species
AUGGCGGAAUCGUCGGAGGAGCUCAAAUCCAUGCUCUCGUCCCUGCUCACCCGCUUCGACGAGAGCAAACUCGCCGGCGACAAGCAAGCGGAGGCGCAGAUCGCCUUCAACAAGCAGGUCUCUGUCGACCUCGCUCACCUGCGCCGGCAGGUGGACCUGACGCAGGCCGACGUCGACGAAGUGCGUCAACAGCGCGACACCGCACCACCACCCGCGACCUCGCCGCGCGGCCGACCACCAAGUACACCCCGGGGCGGCCCACUCACCGGCUCCUCCGCGGCACCGGCGGAUCCACACGCGCCACAACCUCGCCUCGUCAACAACGGUCCUCCUCUGCUUCAACUCCGACACGGCGGGGGGCGCGCGGACGGCCCACACCACGGCGACUUCGCUACGGGCCACCACGACACUGAGAUGCCACGGCAAGAGGACUAUUUCACCAAGCCGCCCAAACAUGAUUUCCCAAGGUUCGACGGCUCCGCUCCGUACCUAUGGAUCGAUCGAUGCGUUGCCUACUUCAAGCUGUACCGCGUUCCACCACACAACUGGGUGACCACGGCGACGCUGUACAUCGAAGGACAGGCAGCUCACUGGCUUCAGGCGUACCGUCAGGCUCAUCGCGCACUAGGAUGGGACGCCUUCUAUGCGGCGAUCCGCGAAGAAUUUGGGGCGGACGAGUUCGAGCUGGAGAUGAAUCAGCUUCUGCAUCUGCGGCAAACCGGCACGGUGGCAGAGUAUCGAGCGGCUUUCGAAGCCCACAUGUACCUACUACUCGCCCUCGACGCCUCGCUGAGCCCGUGCUUCUUCGUCACCCAGUUCCUCCUCGGACUGCAGGACGAUCUGCGCGCCGCGGUACGUCUUCAGGCUCCGACCAGCAUCACACGUGCCUCGGUACUGGCCCACAUCCAGGAGGAAGAAAUCGAUGUUCGCCGCCCACGCCCUCGACUGAUUCCAGCCGGACGGCCCCCGCCUCUGCCCACAAUGAUUCCACCGCGGCCACCAGCAGCGGCAGCAGCGGCUCGGCCGGCCAACGACGAGUUCGCCCGCGAGCGCCAACUCCUCGACUUCCAUCGCGCCAACGGGCUCUGUUUCAAGUGCGGCGACAGAUAA